CUAAGAAUCUUGCGCAAUGGGCGAAAGCCUGACGCAGCAAUUCCGCGUGGGGGACGAAGGCCCUCGGGUCGUAAACCCCUUUUGUGAGGGAAGAAGUUCUGACGGUACCUCACGAAUAAGACACGGCUAACUACGUGCCAGCAGCCGCGGUAAUACGUAGGUGUCGAGCGUUGUCCGGAUUUAUUGGGCGUAAAGAGCCCGCAGGCGGCUUGGUAAGUUCGAGGUGAAAUCUCCCGGCUCAACUGGGAGGGUGCCUCGAAAACUAUCAGGCUUGAGGCAGGGAGAGGGAUGUGGAAUUCCCGGUGUAGUGGUGAAAUGCGUAGAUAUCGGGAGUAACACCAGUGGCGAAGGCGGCAUCCUGGCCCUGUCCUGACGCUCAGGGGCGAAAGCGUGGGGAGCAAACC
rnacentral:rRNA from 1 species